UAUCACUUCUUUUGCAGCUCCUUCUCCUCCACAUCUUCCUUCUCCGCCUCCUCCCAUCCUUCCUCCUCUGCCUCCACCUGUACUUCCAUCGCUGACAUCUUGUCUCUCCUCUUACUCAUCUUCUUCCUCUGCCUCUUCCCACAAUGAACAUCUACUCUCAUUUACGCAUGCUAAGAGCGAAAUUAUAGGGUUUCUUUCUAUAAAUUGGCUCAAAUCUAGUGUAUCCAAUAGCUGUAGCUAAAGAUGAUCGCCGGUGAUGGCCUUCUAAGCACGACAUGUUGUGGGCAUCCCUUGUACAUGGAUUCUCCAUUAUUGGCCUUAUCGAUUUGAGGUUCUGUCUCUAAAGGGUGCGUACUUAAAUUGCAGAACGUGAUGGCCUCGAUCUCCUGCGACAAAGCUGUUUGGGACGCCAUCUUGAACAACAGGGCAGUUCAGGAUCUCCGGGGCUCAAUCUCUGCAGAGUUAUGCCUGAACAUAUACAAUUCGUGACUAUCAACUCUCCUUACGGCUCAAUGCGCAGCUACCUAAGUGAAGAAUUGAUAUGAACAAACAAAGGGGUAUUUGGAGAUAUGUGUUUUGGCUGGAAUUUUUUUUUUGUUUUUAAGUUUCUAUUUAUUUACUGAAGAACAUAAAACAGAGACAGAAACAUGACGAGGCAGUUGGAGUAGGGGUGGAAACGGGAGAAGUAGAAAUUGGUUUAUACAGUUGGCCUCUUAAGUUAGGAUUUAUUUGUAACUGAUAGUUUUUAGCUUUUUGGUUUUUACAGUUGAAGCAUUUGAUCAAGUGUUUUUGUUACAUAUGUAGGAUUUAUUUGUAACUGAUUGUUUUCUUACCUUUUUUUCAUGAAAUAUUGCUUCUUGAUUUUGUAGUUAUUGUCACAUGAGUGAAAAAUUGCUUCAA